AAAAAGGUACUCAAGGGCACACAAUGGAUGCCUAGACGUAUAUUACCGAUGAAGGACGUGGAAGACUGCGAUAAGCUUCGGGUAGCUGUCAACAAGCUUUGAUCCGGAGAUUUCCGAAUGGGGAAACCCAGCACGAGUCAUGUCGGGUUGCUCUCAACUGAAUAC
rnacentral:rRNA from 1 species